UACGUAGGUGGCGAGCGUUGUCCGGAUUUACUGGGCGCAAAGGGAGCGUAGGCGGACUUUUAAGUGAGAUGUGAAAUACUCGGGCUCAACUUGAGUGCUGCAUUUCAAACUGGAAGUCUAGAGUGCAGGAGAGGAGAAUGGAAUUCCUAGUGUAGCGGUGAAAUGCGUAGAGAUUAGGAAGAACACCAGUGGCGAAGGCGAUUCUCUGGACUGUAACUGACGCUGAGGCUCGAAAGCGUGGGGAGCAAACAGG
rnacentral:rRNA from 1 species